CACGUAGGGGGCGAGCGUUGUCCGGAUUUAUUGGGCGUAAAGAGCUCGUAGGCGGUCUGUCGCGUCUGCUGUGAAAACUCGGGGCUUAACCCCGGGCCUGCAGUGGGUACGGGCAGACUAGAGUGCGGUAGGGGAGACUGGAAUUCCUGGUGUAGCGGUGAAAUGCGCAGAUAUCAGGAGGAACACCGGUGGCGAAGGCGGGUCUCUGGGCCGUAACUGACGCUGAGGUGCGAAAGCGUGGGGAGCAAACAGG
rnacentral:rRNA from 1 species